rnacentral:lncRNA from 1 species
AGUCCCAGCCGGAGUCCCAGCCACGGCGUUAUCGAAAGGCAUCACCACAAACUUGAACAUAGACGCUGAUUUGGAAAACUGUGCAGGCUCUGUGUUAUGGGUACCAGCAGAUACCGCAGCAAGGAAAGCUAUCCAGGAUGGAGUCAGUACCAUGGCAUCUGGGAGGUGUGAAUGUGUCUAUCAAGAAGACCUAAUCUGAAUCAGGACUGGUAGAUGGAUGUUAAUUGAAAAAGUUAAGGUCCUGGGGAUAUGAUGGUGAAUAAGCCUCUCCCGUAUUGAGAGAGAAGAGGUGGAGAAAGAAUAUAUGGGCUGCUCUGGAACCGGACUGAACCAAGUACUGCUGUUACUGAAUGCCCCAUGCACAGUGAGACCAAAUAAAACCAUCAGAAUUUGGGACAGAAAAAGCUUUAUUUCGGGGAGAAUGAGUGGCUUAUGCUUAAAAACCUUGAAUUCCCUGAUGGUUUUCAGGGAGAAGUUUUUAUAGGCAACAUUUGGGGUGAGAACUUUUGGUGUGUGACUCUUUUUCUGAUUGAUUGGUGCUGACGUAACAGGGCAGUGCUCCGGGAAUCUUGUGCUCAGCCUGAAGUUACUCUCCUCUACCUGGGUGGGGCCUUAGUUACUUCUGAAGAACUCAAAGGUACUGUUAUGCAUAUCCCUUGAGGAAGAACCCAGCUCCUAUUUUAAUUGCUGUACUCUUAUUUCUUGACUGCUCCUCCAUUGUUUCUGCACUCCCUUGCCCUUUGGAACUCAGGAAAGGUCUUGGAGGCUGAAUGAAGCCUAUUUCCUACUAACCAGAAAUGGGAGAGGAGAAGGAUUUGUACCAGGCCCCACAGGUUCCUGCUCAGUUUCACUGCUGGAGUGUAAGGAAAUGAACUGUACUUUAUUUACUUCUCUAGCUCCAGCACCUAGCUGGCAUACAGUAGGUGCUUAAUCAAUAUUUGAUUAAUAGCUUGGUUAGUGGCCUGUUAGCUUUAAAUGCUGUAAGUUAAUAAUAUGGGAAUAGUUGACGGAUCAUUGGAAAUCAAUAUGUCAGGUUCCUCUGCAUUGUUUCUCUUGAUUCUUGCCCACAUGCCGCAAAGAUUGGAGAUGGAGGCAGCUAUUCCAGCUGGGAAGUACUACAGUGGUGCCAGAAUAGAGCCAGUGGUCUCACCGUGCAGGGAUGGAGGCAGGCGGUCUCUCAGACAGGAGUGUUUGGGUUCAGGACAGGAGCGGUUCUGAGUCAAAGGGAAUUCCCCUCAAACUGACAGCACCUUAGGUUGAAAGUUACAGCUCUUGUCUGGGCACUUUUAAUGGGCCAUUCCUGGUGAGGCAGAAUAACUCAGGUAGUCAGUGUAGGAGCAUGGGCUUCGUUGCAUUCUUUGUUAAGCUAUUGAUUAACAUUUGUGGCUUAAGGUUUCCAGGGAGUAACAUCCCCACAGGCCUUGUUUACUGUAGGGAGUGUACCUAUGCCCAGAUGGGCAUUAAUCCCCAGUCCCCUGUGACUCAGUUUACGGGAAGAGAAGGGCGAAGAAAUCAUAAAACUUAUGGGACAUUUCCACUCCUAAAACCCCUAUUGGACAAGGACUGAUAUAGGUAACUGGGCAAGGCCAAUGGGAGAAAAACCACAUCUUUCUGGACCCCAUGUUGGUAACUCCCGAUCUUUAAGGGAUAAAAACCCCUAUAGGACAAUGGGGGGGGGGGGCUCUUCUUCCACCUCCCAGCAGCCCUGGGUGCUGUUUGCUUUCCUGUAAUAAAGACUUUGCUUGCUUGCUGCCUGUGUGUUUGCAAAGUUCAUUUUUUGGCUGCAUUAACAAGAACCUGGAUUCUGGUAACCUUUUCUGCAUCACCGGUCCAUCUCCCUGAGAGAAAAAAAUGCUCUUGCCAGUUGCCUCAGAGAUAGCAGUCUUGAUCGCAAUCAAGAGUCAAGUUCAUAGCUGUGUACAGCAAAUUUUAUUUAUGCCCUCAGAGAGAGCGGGCUGUCCUGGGGAAGGGACUGGCUCUGGCUGCAACUGGGUCUUUCUUUUUAUCUCCAUAUUGCAGCUGUGUUUGGGGACCCCAAUUCUCCCACUCUAGGCCCCUAAUUUUUCCUGUUCCAGACCCCCUGUGCUGUGCGUAAGGGCUGAGUGUUGUUUGGGUUCUGUAUGGGGGUGCAUUUUGAUCUUCCGAUUGGUUUCAGGCAGGAUGCCUUAUCUGCAUAGGGAACAGGUUAUAGGGAAGUGCUACAAGCAUGCCUCAUUUGUAUAGGGAAGUACUCUGAAGAGCAGGCUCUGGUAUCUUCAUGUGUCUUUAUUGUUUGAUUACAGGCCUCCUAUUUUUGGUAAUGAUAAAUGGCCUGUUUUAAAUCAUCCGGGUCUGAGUCCAUAUCCUAUCCUAUCCUAUAUCCUAACAAAUAUACCAUAAUUUGAGGAGUGCCAACAUAGUGACAAGGUAGAAGUGUUCUAAUUACAGAAUUUGUUGUCAGAAACUCUGCUGUCACUGGUCAAAGUAAAAUAGGAGGUAAAGUUAUAUGCUUCAGAAUCUCUGAAAAGAUAUCCAGUGAGCUCCAUUUUGUCUUUCAAAUAUUGUGUGACAUGACUCUUGAAACAGAUACUGUUGAUAGUUCACCCAACAUGUGCUCCUUACUUCCCUUCCUCUUUCUAAUGAAGCCCAGAUUUUGUCCAGGUGUCAGUCCUCUUUGAUAAGGCUCACCCCAUUUCAGGUCACAGGAGUUGGAUCCUAAUCUAAGAUAGUCUUGAUAGUCCUGUUUUCCUUGACUAAGAUUGAUUGGUAUAAGUGCAAAUAAGUAUAUGAAAUGAUUCUGGAAAGCUUUCUGGAAAAUGUUUCGUUAUUCUGCCUCUCAGAACUGUUGCCAGCAUCAUGCUACACAUCUGAGGGGGAGUUCUACAGACAGAGAAGGGGUGAGAUAACAGGGUGGUGCUCUAGGAAUCUUGUGCCCAGCCUGAAGUUGCCAUCCUCUACCUGGGUAGGGCCUUGGUUCCUGCAGAAGAACUCAAAGAUAUUGUUAUGUAUAUUCUUUGAGGAGGAACCAGGACCCUGCCCCAAGGCUGCACUAUUGUUUCUUGACUGUUCCUCCCUAGUUUUUUGCACCUUCUUCCUUUCUCUGAUUAGCAACUGUUUGAAUCUGCCCUUUGGAACUCAGGGAAGGUCAAAGAGACUGAAUAAAACCUAUUUCCUACAAACAAGAAACAAAGGAUUUGUACCCAGGAGGGCCCCACAGGGUUCUGCUUAGUUUCGGCACCAGCACAGCAAUGAGGUGGCCAUAGACCCUGACUGGACGGUUAUUUUCUUAUGCCUAGGGAUGUUUUUGUAACCUCAGGUUGCAGGUAUAGGGGCAGAACAAAUUUUCCUUCUUCCCUUCUAGGUUUUUUGAAUGGUAUAAUAAUGAAAUUGAUACAAGAAAGAUUAACAGGAGCAAAGCAAACACAAAUAUAUGGUACUAGAGCCCUGUAAAAAUAUGAAGACUCAGAAGGCAACCAGGGAAUUGAAGCUUCUAUAAUAUCCUGAGCUAAGGGAAGGGGUUGUGGUCUGGGGAUACAAAGAGGAGGAAGGCCAUUCAUAGAAACGGAGAGGAGAUGUUUAGAAAACAGAAGUUACCCUGGUAUACAGAUAAGUUUCUUAGGUAAAAAGGUACCUCUGGUGUAGGCUUCUUCCAGGUACAGAUCCCCUUUCCAAUGUCAAUUUAGGCAGUUGAGGGAGAGGUAAAGAGCUUUUCCUGAAUCUGAUGGGUUUUGGCUCAAAAUAAUCCUGAUGCCAAAAUGCUGUGUAUUUGUGGGUGACAAAUUCUGCUCCCUUUCACAAGGAACAGCAGCAAUCCAGUUUUACUGUCAAUGUGGCUAUUUUGAAGGUAAGUGAGAAAGGGAGGAAGCACUGAAAUCCAUUUACACAGUUGAACAAAAGAUAGUAUUUAGAAUACUUUACAGCCCUUGUGCACCAAAAGCAAAUCUAAUACUGAGUAAUUCUCAGGAUUCAGGUUCUCUCUUCUGCUUCUACUUUUUCCUACCAUGAUUCUGCCUAUUUCUACUGCUGCUGGAUAUCCUCUGCUCUCAAUUUCACGGCUUUCCAUUGCCUCGUGGGCUCUGUUUACUGUGCUUUUGCCAUUUGCAUUUAAGCUUCUGUCCCCAUUCUCUCGUCUAUGUCUCUUGACCAUUUUUAUGAUCUUCGGGGUUUCAAAUCCCUAGGUAAGAUUAUGGCAUCAUCUAGUAUGAAUCUGUCUUCAUAUUUGAGAAGGUGCCAUAAUCCAAUAGAAAACUGGUGUUCUACACAGGCAUAUCUGAGUUAUAUGCUCCUUCAUGAGGCAUGUGUUAAAAAAAUGGCAGUGUUAGCAUGAUCUAAGGGUGGAGUUUUUUGGCCCUCUAACAUCAAAAGAUCAUCCAUCAGACACAGAGACCCAGUUGAAUGGUUGGUGGUCUUAACUAGUUUGAAAUGGGCAAGACAAGAUCCAUGUUCUUGAAAAAACAGCUUAAGCAACUUACUGUAGCAACCCAUAUGUGAGAUGUAUUAUCUGUAGGGGGCAGUUAAAGGAGUCUUGUGAUGUAUGGUCUACAUGUUAUAUUGUCUUCAUUGUCUACAUGAAAGUUGGAGGGUAUACAGUUUACAAGAACAAUGAAGGUGAACUUGAUUGUUGAAGGUGGAUUACAGGAUAUUAUUUAUUAAACAAGUAGGAUUUAAGGGAUGGAUCUAGCUGAUGACUACCUUCGUUUUCAAGUGUGGCCAAGGUUGCAGUUUUGUAUAACACAAAACAUGGAGGUUUGCUCCCAGGAAACUAAUUCUGGAUGUUUCAUUCAGAAGAUGACUACUUAUAGCAGAUGCUUUAGAAUGUCAGAGCAUCAUGGUGUUAUGGCUUAUAUAGUACAAUGGGACAUGAGAAAAUGUGAAUCAGAGGAAUAUGUCCUUCUUUUUAACCUCCUUUAGAAGUAUACACACUUGAGAAGAUAUCGUGACUUCUACUACUGCUUUUUCCUCUUCCAUUUUCUAAGAAUUUUCACUUGGCCAACUAGCCCUCCACAAGCCUAGCAGUCUUCUCACUCAGAUCCUCAUCUUUCUGUAGUACCAUGAUUAACUAACACGCCAUGCUUCCUCUUUUCUCUACCAUGAUCAUGACCACCUCCAUUCUCUUGCUCAAAACAUGACAAAGGGAGAUUUUGUGGCCAACCACUGGAUUUCUUGGGUGUACUAGUAGGUAGAGGAAGAACUAGGUGCUAGGUAUUGUAUCCAGUGCUUUAUGUGGUAAGAAAAUAGUGCCAUUAGAGGCAACUGUCAUGUUUAUCCAGUUUGUUGUGAAAAAGUGGCUAUAGUAGACAUUCAAAAAUGAUUUUUUUGAUUAUGAUGGUGAAGUAUUCUUGUUGUUUGUGUUUAUAGUACUAAGUUGUAAAUGGGAUUCAUUUUCCUAAAGAGUAGUCAAAAUAUACUCAGAAUGACUCUUAAUAUUACAUUGCUUUUAGCCACUUUCCAACUCACUUUGGAACUUCUCAUUCCUGUAUUUAACAAUGAGGAAGAGAAAAAGAAAUCCUUGGCAUAGUGAUUUUCCUUGUUACUUUCUGUGAUUGUUUAGUUUCUCUUUGCAUCCUGAAUAUUCCAGGUGCUGAAAUAAACAUGUAUUUUCUAGAAGAGUUAUAUUUUGAAGUAAUUAAAACAUCCAGUCUUGCAAUUAAAAAAAAAGUUGUUUGCAAUGCUGUGAGGGCUGAUUUCUAGACCUAGAAAUUUGUUGAAGAAAAUUUAUUUAUAUAAAGUAAGAAGAAAGUGUCAAUGUAGGAAAUAGGUAUUCUCAUGCUGAUUUGUAAGACAAAAGAAGGGGGGAGGUGGGAGUGGAUAGAGACAAGAUCACUUGGAAGUAAAACAAUAUCUGUCUCAAGGCUAUUCAUAAAUAACCACACAAUUCAUUUAUAGAUUUAUUUCUAUCUAUUUUCCUUUCUACUGUAUUACCAUGCCUGUCGCUGAGACAUAGAUAUAAACUUGGAAUUGCAUUAUUGAAGUUGCUUUCUCAAUUACUUUUCUAGCAUAAUUACUUUUGUACUAGAGAGUUUUAAAAAUCAAUGGUGUUCUUUGCAAUAUCUUUGUAACAGUUAAUUAAUAUUACAACUCAUGCUAGCAAAGUUAUUCUGCUUAGUAAAAAGAACCUUGCUUUUAACAUCCCCAACCAGUAAGAAAAGCAAUGGGCAAAGUAUAUUUAUUUAAGGAUAUAGUUUAAAAUAACUGCCCAAUUCUGGUAGAGUUGAGAGCAGACUAUACAAACAUCAAUGACUCCAACUGAAGGUAGCAAUGAAUGAAGUUGUCAAUAAUUAUUUUAAUAUUAGAAGCUCUCUAAAUCUUCUAAGAACAUGUCUUUGGUUUGUGUUGAGGCUUGAUUGAUUUUAGCUUGUCCACCAUUAUAUUCAAGUAUUACUUAAUAGAAUUGUUAAGUAAUAUAAUAUACCAAUUCUAAUAACUAUUUCAGCUCUUCUGAUUCUCAUCAAUGUGUGUUAAUGAUUAUCUUCUAAUGAAUGGUCAAAAAAAUUUGGCUUUCUAUAAUUGGUCUCAAGUUUUUCAUCCUUAAAAUAGAUACAGACUCUGAAGGUCUUAGUUGGAUUGAUAUGUGGAAUAACCAUUACAAAUGAAUUACUAAGAAGUUUGCAAAUACAAAAGUUCUGUAAUAGAUAUUAAUAAUAAUUUUAGGUAGACACUUGUAAUUGUAACUUUGAGUGACUACUUCAAGGGUUGACUCCUCUUUUAUGUUAGAGUUUGCUCAGAUCUUUUCAAAACAGCUCCCUGUUCAUUGACAUCUUUAAUUCUUUUUGACAGAAAGCGUCAAAACCUUUCCUUCAACAGAAUGUUCAGUAACCUUCACCAAAUAGCCAUUAAUUAAGCAAUUAAAAUAAAUUUGAAGAAAAAAGAACUUUGAGAGGAGACUAGAAUUAACUCAAAAGAUAGUUUAAAAAUAGUUUUCUAGCACUUGAGUCAUUAUUGACCAAAAAGUUCCUAAGGGAUAUUAACAAUGCAUUUGAUAGUUGCCAAGGAAACCUUAACCUUUCCUGAGAAUGUCUGCCCUUCUGCAUUGUACCUGAUUGUCAGAAUAAGUUCAGCAACUGAUUAUAACUGAGCCAUUUUCAACAUCAAGCUUUUUCUUGUCAAUCCCUUUUCAAAGAAUAAGCUCAAGUAUUCAGGAUAUCUUACUCUGUAUCUGUUUUUAUGUCACUGAGGAUUCAUACUUCAAAUAUGGAGAUUCUUUAUUAACAAUUUCCCCCAAAAUUCUGAUUUCCUGGAGACAAAUCAGUCCUAAUUUAGAGACAAGGAAACUGAGGUACUUAAUGUUUUUAUUGUGUGAGGAUAAUUCUGUCAUAACGCUUACUGGCUUCCUUUGUUCAGAACAUUUCUUUUUUUUUUUUUUUUUUUUUUUUUUUUUGUCUUUUGUCUGUUGUUGUUGCUAUCUCUUGGUCCGCUUCCACGGCAUAUGGAGGUUCCCAGGCUAGGGGUUGAAUCGGAGCUGUAGCCACCGGCCUACGCCAGAGCCACCGCAAUGCGGGAUCCGAGCCGCGUCUGCAACCUACACCACAGCUCACGGCAACGCCGGAUCGUUAACCCACUGAGCAAGGGCAGGGACCGAACCCGCAACCUCAUGGUUCCUAGUCGGAUUCGUUAACCGCUGCGCCACCAUGGGAACUCCUGUUCAGAAUAUUUCUUAGUCCAUUCGGUCUGCUAUAACAAAAUGCCGAGACAUGGUGGCUUAUAAACAAGCAACAUUUAUUUCUUACAGAUUUGGAGCCUGAAAGUCUGAGAUUAGGGGGCCAGCAUGGUUGGGUGAGGGUCCUCUCCUAGGUGGAAGACUUCUCAUUUUGUCCUCAUAUGACAGAACCAGCAAGACAACUCUCUCAGGUCUGUUGUUUUUUGGGUUUUUUGUUUGUUUGUUUUUUUGGCCAUGCCUGUGACACGUGGAAGUUCCCAGGCCAGGGAUCAAACCCACACCACAGCAGUGACUCGAGCUGCUACAGUGAUGACAGUGGAUCCUUAACCCACUGAGCCACCAGGAAACUCUACUCACACCUGUUUAAUAAGGGCAUGACUUUCAUUCACAAGGGCUCCACCCUCCAGACCUAAUUACCUCGAAAAGGCUCCGAUGCAUCUAUUAAUACCAUCACAGUGGGCAUUAGGAUGUCAACAUAAGGAAUUUGGGGGGGGACACAAACAUUCAGACAGCAACAGAGCACAAUAACUAGUCAAAUAUCUAGCAAUGUUUAAAAAUAGUCUGGGAGUUCCUGUUGUGGCUCAGUGGAAACAAACCUGACUAGUAUCCAUGCAGAUGCGGGUUCGAUUGCUGACCUUGCUCAGUGGGUUAAGGAUCUGGCAUUUCUGUGAGCUAUGGUGCAGGUCACAGAUGUGGCUUGGAUCACACAUUGCUGUGGCUGUGGUGUAGGCCGGCAGCUGUAGCUUCAAUUCGACCUCUAGCCUGGGAACUUCCAUAAUACCAUGCAAGUGCAGCCCUAAAAAAAAAAAGAGAAAAAAAAGAAAAAAAAAA